AAAGUACGGAUACACCUCCAGGGUUCAACAUCAAGCCGACACUCUGCGGCUGCUGGCUCUCAAUGGCGUCCGCAUCACUUAGAGUUCGCAGCCUCACUGUGCUUCUACAGGCCUUGGUGGUCGUCUGCGUGGUGAUCAUGUGCAGCUGCAGCUACACCUGCGAGGGCCGUCGAUUUCUGCUCCCGUUCUUCCGUGAGGAGAAGCCGCCCAUCGCAGUUAACCCUGUUCCAUGCUUCCUUCCGCCGUGCCCCAAGAACUGAUGCACCGGUACGGUUGGGCAUCUGUAGGAGCAUCUCCGUUACGUUCCUGCUGCGAAUAAUAUACAUACGGGAAAUGAUGCUAAACUUAAUACAGCAAAUAAUAACAGAUGCUCAACUCAUGUCAUGAGGUAGUGCUGCACACGAUUCUCAGCAGUUUGUUAAGGUAAUAAUAAAGGGCCACGCGACUCCGAUCCCUACAUAGCUAGUGUACGUCUGUUAGUGUUUCCUGCUUUGUUUGUUACGAUCAGAUUGUUUUCCUGGGCUGUUAUAUAAACCGUUGUAAUCAUUCAUAAGUGAAGUGCAGAUCGACUUCCUCUCAUCUUUCUGAUUGUAAAUGAAGGUGUCGUUGAUGCUUCUGUGAUUUUACAGUGAUCCACAAGCUAUUUUGCCA